rnacentral:tRNA from 2 species
CACUAGGAAGCUAAUUUGGUCAUAAGCAUUAGCCUUUUAAGCUAAAGACUGGUGGCUACCGCCCACCCCUAGUGA